rnacentral:rRNA from 1 species
UACGGGGGGGGCAAGCGUUGUUCGGAAUUACUGGGCGUAAAGGGCUUGUAGGUGGCCAACUAAGUCAGACGUGAAAUCCCUCGGCUUAACCGGGGAACUGCGUCUGAUACUGGAUGGCUUGAGUGUGGGAGAGGGAUGCGGAAUUCCAGGUGUAGCGGUGAAAUGCGUAGAUAUCUGGAGGAACACCGGUGGCGAAGGCGACUUUCUGGUCUGUAACUGACACUGAGGCGCGAAAGCGUGGGGAGCGAACAGG